rnacentral:rRNA from 1 species
UACGUAGGGGGCAAGCGUUGUCCGGAAUCAUUGGGCGUAAAGAGCGUGUAGGCGGCCCGAUAAGUCCGCCGUGAAAGUCCAGGGCUCAACCCUGGAAUGCCGGUGGAAACUGUCGGGCUGGAGUCCGGAAGAGGCGAGUGGAAUUCCUGGUGUAGCGGUGAAAUGCGCAGAUAUCAGGAAGAACACCCGUGGCGAAAGCGGCUCUCUGGAACGGUACUGACGCUGAGACGCGAAAGCGUGGGGAGCAAACAGG